rnacentral:piRNA from 1 species
UAAGGGAGGUGUCCCAGCACAGAUCAUA